AUUGAACGCUGGCGGCGUGCCUAACACAUGCAUGUCGAGCGGUAACAGGUGUAGCAAUACAUGCUGACGAGCGGCGGACGGGUGAGUAACGCUUGGGAAUCUGCCUGUUAGUGGGGGACAACCCGGGGAAACUCGGGCUAAUACCGCAUACGCACUACGGUGGAAAGCCGGGGACCGCAAGGCCUGGCGCUAACAGAUGAGCCCAAGUCGGAUUAGCUAGUUGGUAGGGUAACGGCCUACCAAGGCGACGAUCCGUAACUGGUCUGAGAGGACGACCAGUCACACCGGAACUGAGACACGGUCCGGACUCCUACGGGAGGCAGCAGUGGGGAAUAUUGGACAAUGGGGGCAACCCUGAUCCAGCGACGCCGCGUGGGUGAAGAAGGCCUGCGGGUUGUAAAGCCCUUUCGGUUGGGAAGAAAAGCUGUGACCUAACACGUUGCGGCCUUGACGUAACCAACUAAAGAAGCACCGGCUAACUCUGUGCCAGCAGCCGCGGUAAUACAGAGGGUGCG
rnacentral:rRNA from 1 species